GAUAAACGCUGGCGGCGUGCCUAAUGCAUGCAAGUCGAACGGAUAGUUGUCUUCGGAUAGCUAUUAGUGGCAAACGGGUGAGUAACACGUGGGGAUCUGCCCAGUAGUGGGGAACAACUCCGAGAAAUCGGAGCUAAUACCGCAUACGGUCUGUGUUGAAGGACACGAGACUAAAGCCUUUCUUCGGAAAGGUGCUAUUGGAGGAACCUGCGGCUGAUUAGCUAGUUGGUGGGGAAAGGCCUACCAAGGCGAUGAUCAGUAGCUGGUCUGAGAGGAUGGACAGCCACACUGGGACUGAGAUACGGCCCAGACUCCUACGGGAGGCAGCAGCAAGGAAUUUUCGUCAAUGGGGAAACCCUGAACGAGCAACGCCGCGUGGGCGAAGAAGUC
rnacentral:rRNA from 1 species